rnacentral:lncRNA from 1 species
GAUCCAUCCAAAGAAGAGAAGUAUACAAUACUCAACAGGAAUGUCCAAAGAAAAAGAACCUAGUUGACAGCAAAACAGAAGUACACUGGAGUAGCAAAUCAUCUGCUCAACCAUUCAAGGAUCACAACCAUACCCCUACAAACCCACAGCAAUUUCAUAAUAAAAAUCACAAGAAACCUCCAAUCCUUCAUGAGUACACUUUAAGGUGUGCAUACCAAUCUGCAAGAUAAAAAUUAUUUUGGCAACUACUUAGAUUUAGAGCUUUCAAGCUGUGUAUUAGCAAAAGCAUGUGCACAGUAGUCAGCAGUGUCAAAAAGUGAAGUUCAUGAUUUAUAUGCUAAAAAAGGUUGGUGUUUGUCUAGAAGAUACCUUUGGAGUAACCAAAAAAAGAUAGGAGAAGAAGAAACAAUCUGAGGCAAGUUUUCUUUUCCCCAGUGUCUACCUUCCAAUAAGUUUUAGCCUAUGCAUCAUGGCCUCCAGAUACUAAAACUCAGAAUAAUCAUCACAUAGCCGUAAAAUUAAUGAAUUACCACAGCAAUCCUUGGAAACAAAAUCAACAACAACAGAUAAAUACAACCAAUAGAUAAAACCUCCAGAUUAAUCAUCACUAGGUUAAAAAACCCAACAAAUAGAGCAAUCACUAGAAUAGAAAGACAGACUGCAGUCAAUGCCGAAUCCCAAGGAAUUUAAAUGAUAUCAAAAUAAAAAUUCAAAUGAGGCAACAAACAAGCAACUUAACCAUUGAAGGAUUACAAAAACAAAUUGAAAUCAAGAAUCCCAACAGUAACUUCAGCAUGUACACUAAAACCCUCAUAAUAAUCAUCACAGGGCCAUAAAGAUAAAUGAUUUAAUACAAUAGUACACACAAAAUAAAACCAACAAUGAUACAUGGAUCCAGCUGAAACAGCAAAACAACUACUCAAACCUUCAGAUCAGUCAUCAUCAAAUUACAAAACCCAACCUAUGGACCGAUCCUAGCAAUAAAAGAACAUAUUUCUCAAGUACAAUAUCUAAUCACAAGCAACCAAAUUCAUAUGGCAAAAGAGAAAUGGAAUGGAAGCAGCAGAUUAGCCACUCAAACAUGCAGGAACAUUUAUUCAAACACAUGGAGACAGCUCUCCUCCAGACCACAAUAAGCAUAGCCAUGGCUUUCGAGCAUAAUAUAUGGAAAGGGUCAGUAGAGGGAGGACCAGCUCAUAGCCCACAUCCCCACUUCACUUCCUCUAUGUCCCUCACAAAAAGAGCAAGAUGAUACAAAAAUCAAUAAAACCAGACUUUCUAUCAAGAUACCAGGGCAACAGUAGAACAAACCAGAAUUUGACCAAAAUAAUUCAACUUCACCCACCAAAGCUCCAAAAAAGAGCAUAACAUAACAAAUGCAUAGGUGAAACUGCGCAAAGCCCAAGCACAGUGAAGGAAAACCAAAAAAUCCACUCCAAUCUUAAAGAAGAUUCCAGUCUAGACCAAAAAAACGCAGUGGGAGCAGCAGAUCACCCAUUCAACCAUUCAUGGACAUUUCUUCAAACACUUGAAGGUAGUACUAGCCACAGAUCAUGGCUUUGCAGAAGAAGACAUGGAAAGAGUUAGAAGAAUAGGGGAAGAGGGUUAGCAGAAACCAUGGCACAACAAAGAUAGAAAAAGCAAAGAGGAAGGUCUUUGUGUUUCUUUGGUGAAGGCACAUAGAAUGAUCAUUCCAACCUCUUCUGGUGGCCUUCUCUUGGCAUCUAGUAGCAUUACUUGAGCUGGCUAGGGUCCAGGGAAAAGGAAGACCUUAAGAGGGCCGAGGUUUUGGCCUUUUUUUAUGGGGACAUUGUGAGAGGCUAAUCCUUACCUUCUACCUUAUACCUACCCCAUCCCUCAAAGGGCUGCCUCUAAUCGGAAUCAAACCUGAUACACCUCGGAUCUGACUUGCGUGAUGUGGCAUUGCCGAAUAGGAGCUCAACACAGACCAGCCACAAAACCCAUCACCUCGGCCAACCAGUUCUUGCCAUGUGGCCAACCUAAGGGCAUGCAAAGAAAAUCAAAUCAACCUCCACUCGGUGAUAGUUGGACUAUAAUAGAGGAAUGACCUCCACAAUUGUGAGAUCUGUAUCUUAUCGUAUCCUAACAAGCUUAAGGACGUGCGAAACAAUUAUCCCCAACCUCCCUCGCAUGUCUUUAACGCCUUGGGAUCCAACCCUCAUCUACAUAAACUCUUCCCUAGGGAACCUCCAGAUAAGUCCACACAAGUCGAACCAAGUCUAGACAAGACUUCUUAAGCCUAAAUCCUUCCGAAUACCCUCAAAUUCUUGGAAGCUCUCUAAAGUUCUACCGAGUCUCUAGAAAAAUCUUUGAGUCACCGAGUCUCCACUCAUGAGCUCAGAGUACCCUACCAGUGGUGAUCCACCCAAAGAGUCUCUCAUAGUUCUAGACUGAGUGACAUCCCCUUGAGACUAUAUCUCUCCCAAACAUAGACCGUUCCUCUCUCCCACAAACUCAAGACUUCCACUCACAUGCACCGCUGAUUUGAUCUCAUCUCCUUCUACUUCUUUUAGAACUUCCUUUGUUCCAUCGAGGUAGACUAACGCGUCAGAGGGUCCUCACCAGAAAACCCUCGGCAAGCGGACUUCCUUUGCUUUUGGUGUUUCAGCAUACUCAAAGAGGUUGAAACAUAGUUUUGAACCUCUUCGAUAGCUUUCCGACUUUCAGCCAGCUCCUAGAGUCCCUAGGUUGCCACUUACCCCCUCUUAUCCUUAGCUUAAGCUCAUCGGCCUGAGCUAAAUCGAUCCUCGGUGGCAACAAAACCCAUACCCUUAGCCUAAGUGGCAGGGAGUAAUAUUAUUCGAGUGCUUGGUGGGAUAGGGUUUUUCCUUGAAAGAACACCAUCACAUAAGUUUAGGUUGAAGUUCUUGACCUUGAGAGGGCUUGUGUUUCACUUUGUGUAGGUUUCCUCCAUGCCCCACGCAGAACAACAAAAGACAACCUCCACUCGGUGAUAGUUGGACUAUAAUAGCAGAAUGACCUCCACAAUUGUGAGAUCUGUAUCUUAUCAUAUCCCAACAAGCUCAAGAACGUGCGAAACAGUUAUCCCCAACCUCCCUCGCAUGUUCUUAAUGCCUUGGGAUCCAACCCUCAUCUACAUAAACUCUUUCCUAGGGAACCUCUAGAUAAGUCCACACAAGUCGAAUCAAGUCUAGACAAGACUUCCUAAGCCUAAAUCCUUCCGAAUACCCUCAAAUUCUUGGAAGCUCUCUAAAGUUCUAUCGAGUCUCUAGAAAAAUCUUUGAGUCACCGAGUCUCCACUCAUGAGCUCAGAGUACCCUACCAGUGGUGAUCCACCCAAAGGGUCUCUCAUAGUUCUAGACUGAGUGACAUCCCCUUGAGACUAUAUCUCUCCUAAACAUAGACCGUUCCUCUCUCCCACAGACUCAAGACUUCCACUCACAUGCACCGUUGAUUUGAUCUCAUCUCCUUCUACUUCUUUUAGAACUUCCUUUGUUCCAUCGAGGUAGACUAAUGCAUCAGAGGGUCCUCACUAGAAAACCCUCGGCAAGCGGACUUCCUUUGCUUUUGGUGUUUCAGCAUGCUCAAAAAAGUUGAAACAUAGUUUUGGACCUCUCCGACAGCUUUCCGACUUUCAACCAGCUCCUAGAGUCCCUAGGUUGCCAAUUACCGCCUCUUAUCCUUAGCUUCAGCUCAUCGGCCUGAGCUAAAUCGACCCUCGGUGGCAACAAAACCCAUACCCCUAGCCUAAGUAGCAGGGAGUAAUAUUAUUCGAGUGCUUGGUGGGAUAGGGUUUCCCCUUGAAAGAACACCAUCACAUAAGUUUAGGUUGAAGUUCUUGACCUUGAGAGGGCUUGUGUUUCACUUUGUGUAGGUUUCCUCCAUGCCCCACACAAAACAACAAAAGACAACCUACAAAUCAACAAUAUUAGCUAUUUUAUUCAAAAGCAAAUUAAAGCAAAAUUCUGCCAAAAUAACCCCACUCCAACAACCAAGACUAGGAAUUUGAAAAUAAUACAUUAAACAAAAUAGAGAUAAGCAAAAUAGUGCAAAGCCCAAGGGUAAUGAAAGGAAACCAGAAAAAUCCUAUCUUGAUCUUAGCCAAGCUUAUCCCUUUAAAUAUAUAUAAGAAAGUCAUCCAAUAUGGACUGACUCCAAGAUAGAGCUUUGCAGGAAGCAAUAACCCCCAAUAUCACUCCAAAUGUCCCCAUCCCACAGUUUUCCCAAAUGCAGUUUUACAAGCAUGACCAUAAU